AGAGUUUGAUCCUGGCUCAGGAUGAACGCUGGCGGCGUGCUUAACACAUGCAAGUCGAACGGACUUAUAUUGAAACCUAGUGAAAUAUAAGUUAGUGGCGGACGGGUGAGUAACGCGUGGAUAACCUGCCGUAUACAGGGGGAUAACACUUAGAAAUAGGUGCUAAUACCGCAUAAGCGCACAGCUUCGCAUGAAGCAGUGUGAAAAACUGAGGUGGUAUACGAUGGUUCCGCGUCUGAUUAGCUAGUUGGUGGGGUAAUGGCCUACCAAGGCGACGAUCAGUCGCCGGCCUGAGAGGGUGAACGGCCACAUUGGGACUGAGACACGGCCCAAACUCCUACGGGAGGCAGCAGUGGGGAAUAUUGCACAAUGGGGGAAACCCUGAUGCAGCGACGCCGCGUGAGUGAAGAAGUAUUUCGGUAUGUAAAGCUCUAUCAGCAGGGAAGAAAAACCGACCAUAGGGUCGCUAGACGGUACCUGAUUAAGAAGCCCCGGCUAACUACGUGCCAGCAGCCGCGGU
rnacentral:rRNA from 1 species